UAGGCGCGCGUUGAACAUUAAACGUUUGGAGGGCGAGCUAAUACUGGCGAGUGCUCUCCCAGUCGCCCUGCCCCAUGGCCUCGGGCGGCGGCGGGAGCAUCUCCCGCGAGUCCAGCACCUGCACGAGCCCGAGGUACGCCACGGCCAGCACCACGCUCACGACGCCUGCGGGUCGGGAUUGAAGGGUCGAGAGGGGUCAGCGUCCUUCGCUCGGCGGCGUCGGGUGGAAAGUUCCGCUCGUCUGGAUAAGAGAAAAAGUUGGCGUCGUUGGGUCGGGCGUCGUCCCGCACCGGUCACGAUGGCGGUCAGCUUCGCGCCCUUGACCUCCUCGCUGUCCUCCUCUGGCUCCCUGGCGGCGGGCGCGGCGGUGGAUUCGGCGGCGGGCGCCUCGUCCUCGCUCGCUCGAACCAUCGUGGAGCGAGACCCAUCGCGGUUGG
rnacentral:lncRNA from 1 species